rnacentral:lncRNA from 1 species
ACAUUCCCACCGACCGCUCCGCCGGCGCGGAUCCGCUAGACCCGUGUUUGCAAGGAGCUCGGCGUAGCCGCGUCCCAUCCCGUGCGGGAGCCGGCGGGGGAGACCCGCGCGUCCAGACCGAAGUCCAGUGCAGGUGCAAAGGGCGGGAAAUAGCGAUGACGUCGCAGGUCGACCUGAGGGACCAGUCCCCAAGAUCUUUUUUCUCAGGCAAAAUGCUUUGAAGAGCUCACCACAUACACAUUCCUGAUUUUCAUUAAAGCGCCUCGUGAAAGUUUACAUAAAGAACACACAAAAGGCACAGCCCGUACCUUCCUGCCCAUGCCAGAAAAAGAGGAUGUCAAGUCACGGCUACCAAACGACAGGACCCUUGAGAGCAGAUGGCAUAAAGGUGCUGAUGGACACCUGAUAGCCUACUGCCUUUGUGUGGAAACUGAGAAGAUUUGCUGUGCUGAUUUAACCGCCUGCAAUUUUUUUCUGAUGUUGUCAUGACAAAAAGAAUGCUGAUUCUGUCCAUUUGAACCUCUGUGUGAGCCUGACUUUGCAUAUCCUGGGCAUUCUUCGACCUUCCGUAAAGAUGUCUGAACCCGAUGCUUCAUCUGUGUUCUCAGGAAGCAUGGAGAAUGGAACUUUCCUCCAGCUCUUCCCCACAUCCCUGUCCACAUCGGUGGACCCGUCCUCAGGCCACUUGUCAAAUGUCUACAUCUACGUAUCCAUAUUCCUCAGCCUUUUAGCCUUCCUGCUUCUGCUUUUAAUCAUUGCCCUCCAGAGGCUCAAAAAUAUCAUCUCCUCCAGUUCCUCCUACCCAGAGCACCCAAGUGAUGCUGGAAGUUCCUUCACCAACUUGGAAGUCUGCAGUAUUUCCUCACAAAGGUCCACUUUUUCAAACCUUUCAUCCUGAAGAAAAUGGAAGAAUCCUUCGAUGCUAUGGCCACUUAAGGGGAAGUGUCACAUGAUGCAGAUGCCUCAAGAAAGAAAUGCCCCCGUUUUGAUCUUUUCCACCAAUUAGACCUGUUUCUCCUUCUCCUUCAGCCCUAACUACUGCUGUUCAUGACGCUUUUCAUUUGUGAACGUAGGCACUGAUGCUGAUGGAAAUGCAUGCAGGGUGCAGCUCUUCACCCAGACCACUUGAUGAAUCUGGAACUGGCUUCUUCUCGGUGGAUCAGGCCAUCCCGUUGGACACCUGAGGCAGCACUCACCUGGGGUGGUCUUGCAGAGGACGCUGGAUCUCGGCUCUGCCCUUCUUUUCUUUUAUGAAAUAAGAAUCUGAGUCAGCAGAAACUGGGAAAAUGAGCUAUGUAUAAGGCAUUUUCCAUAUUUAAAAGAUAAAGUGAAAACACCAAAUUAAAAAAAAGAGUCAAUUUAGAUUCCAUGCAUAACGUCUCCAAAACCGGAGGCAAAAAUAUGCUAAAUGUUUUAUUUCAUUUACUUUUACAAAUGAAAAUCACAUUUAUUGAUGAAUUAAGUCACACUUGGAAAAGUCUUAGAAGACUUUGACUUUUAAUAGCAAGGCAAAUAUGUGUUAUGAUGCAGUUUGUAAUGUAUUUCUGCCUCUUGGGAAUUUCUCCUACUUAUAGUCAAAAUGCCCUAUAUUUGUGGAAUUCUUUGUGAUAACUGCUGUUGCUAUUACUAAGAGAGGCGCCAGAGGAAACACAGGAACUAUUAUUUUAUGUCUGUAAUUUCCAUCAACGGGGAUCAUACAUAUGGAAAAUAUUCAUUUAGUUGUAUUUUAUACAGUAAUAACUCCUAGUGGUUGUGUAAGAAUGUUCCUUUAUUCAGUUUCACAAUCUUUAUAAAUUUAGUGCAAAAUUAUAUUAAGGCUCCAAGAUGUCAGAUGUUUGUUUACUCGCAUUAGACUGUAAAGCAUAGAAGACACAACUGCUAAUAUCCACGCUUUUAUCUACUCCUUGAAUGUUACGUCUCUGAUAAAUUGUGCAUUAAUGUAAUACUCUACAUUAGGAUUCAGGGAUGUGGGUUUAUGUUUAAAGUUGCAGACACUCAAGCUGGGUAGCUGCUGGGAGCUUAGUGAUCCUGGGAGCUGCCAUACUGUGGUCAGCCAAGCACAUCUGAACUAGGGGGCUUUGUCCAUGAAAUGAGGCAUACCCAUGAGCAUAGAUAUGGAAUACAGAUUGGAGCAGGGGUGGGUUAUCAAGCUCCCCUUUAAAACCAAACAAAGCAAACUACAGCUUCUUAAAAGUAAGAAGUUUAAUUUUUAUUUCAUUUAUUUAUUUUUUUUUGUCUUUUUGUCUUUUCUAUGGCCACACCUGCAGCAUGGAGGUUCCCAGGCUAGGGGUCGAAUCAGAGGUGAGGCACUGGCCUACACCAGAGCCACAGCAACGUGGGAUCUGAGCCACGUCUGCAACCUACACCACAGCUCUGGGCAACACCGGACCCUUAACCCACUGAGCGAGGCCAGGGAUCGAACCUGCCACCUCAUGGUUCUUAGAUUCAUUUCUGCUGCGCCACUAGGGGAACUCCAGAACAUCCUAAUUUUUUUUUUUUUUUUGGUCUUUUGUCCUUUUUUUAGGGCCGCACCUGCGGCGUAUGGAGGUUCCCAGGCUAGGGGUCCAAUCGGAACUAUAGCUGCUGGCCACAGCCACAGCCACAGCAACAAGGGAUCCGAGCCGUGUCUUCGACCUACACCACAGCUCACAGCAACACCAGAUCCUUAACCCACUGAAUGAGGCGAGGGAUUGAACCCGCAACCUCAUGGUUCCUAGUCAGGUUGGUUACUCACUGAGCCACGACGGGAACUCCUAAUUUUUAAAGUAAAGCAUCCGCAGUGUAAAUACUGAAAGUAUUCAGCCUACGAGGCCCACUGUAUCAACAUGACCCUGUCUUCCCGUUGUGUUGAUGCAACUACAUCCUUCUUGUCCAAAACAUUUCCUAAUCUCAAGUCGUUGGCCCUCAACCCACCCUUUGGUUUGUCUGUGUGGCAUCUCCAUCCAGAACUGGAAUGGGAUAAAGAAUCCGCCUUUUUCAUAGAGGAUAUCUUUGUCAUUCUACAAUCCUGAGACAGAUGUAAAGUGACAGGGAGGAUCAAAAAGGUUCCAUUUUAAUCCAUAAGCCUCACUUUAAUCAAACCACAUCGCUAUAUCAGAAAUAUCCCCCAAACACCACAAGACCUGCAGAGUUGUUGCCCUAAAAUGUAUAAUUAGUGAAAAUGUUACCUCCACUGUCAUUUUAAAGCAUAACAUAAAGAAUGUUAUUAUGUAGUAUAAGUGCUGGACAAGAAAAAUUCUGCUAUUUUAGACCAUUAUCAGCAUUCUGUUUGUGUGUGCAUGUGUGUGUGUGUAUACACAACACAUUCUCAGAAUAUAUAUAUAUAUUUUUUUUUUCACACACUCCCAAUUAAGAGUUGUGUGAAAGCUGCACAGGAUUAGAGGCAUCUAUGUUAUCACUUUCGCUCUUUGAUUACUCUUGUUCUAUUUUGGUUACCAAGGAAGAAAGGACGUGGAUGAACUGAUAUGAAUAAAUAAAGGAGCAAAUUCGCCCAUAACAAUUCAGUCUUAGUAUGAUCUCUUCUAAGUGGUAGCUUUAUUCUCUUUCCUUCUGGAAGAGAUCUAUUUGUUUUAAAUUUGCGGGCACCUCCCCCCACCACCCUGCCGUGACGGUUCUAGCUCUUAAAGUUAAGUAGAGUGACUGGGAAAAACAUUCGAGGAUGUAAAAUAGAAUUUGUCAUUACCAGCUUCUCAGGAUAACAGAUUGUACAAUUUAAGAUGAAUCUGUGUUAAGAGUUCAGAAAGGUUGGAAGACUGGGUCAUAAAUAAAGCAAUUAACCCCACU